GGGCGAGUGGUGAAAUGGCAGACACGCUGGUCUUAGGAACCAGUGCCGCAAGGCGUAGGGGUUCAAAUCCCCUCUCGCCCA
rnacentral:tRNA from 1 species